UUAAAUUGAGAGUUUGAUCCUGGCUCAGGACGAACGCUGGCGGCGUGCCUAAUACAUGCAAGUCGAGCGAGCUGAAUUCAAAGAUCCCUUCGGGGUGAUUUGUUGGACGCUAGCGGCGGAUGGGUGAGUAACACGUGGGCAAUCUGCCCUAAAGACUGGGAUACCACUUGGAAACAGGUGCUAAUACCGGAUAACAACAUGAAUCGCAUGAUUCAAGUUUGAAAGGCGGCGUAAGCUGUCACUUUAGGAUGAGCCCGCGGCGCAUUAGCUAGUUGGUGGGGUAAAGGCCUACCAAGGC
rnacentral:rRNA from 1 species